UACGUAGGGCGCAAGCGUUGUCCGGAAUUAUUGGGCGUAAAGAGCUCGUAGGCGGUUUGUCGCGUCUGCUGUGAAAACUCGAGGCUCAACCUCGGGCUUGCAGUGGGUACGGGCAGACUAGAGUGCGGGUAGGGGUGACUGGAAUUCCUGGGUGUAGCGGUGGAAUGCGCAGAUAUCAGGAGGAACACCGAUGCGAAGGCAGGUCUCUGG
rnacentral:rRNA from 1 species